AACGAACGCUGGCGGCAUGCCUAACACAUGCAAGUCGAACGAGACCUUCGGGUCUAGUGGCGCACGGGUGCGUAACGCGUGGGAACCUGCCCUUAGGUUCGGAAUAACUCCCCGAAAGGGGUGCUAAUACCGGAUAAUGUCUUCGGACCAAAGAUUUAUCGCCUUUGGAUGGGCCCGCGUUGGAUUAGCUAGUUGGUAGGGUAAAAGCCUACCAAGGCGACGAUCCAUAGCUGGUCUGAGAGGAAGAUCAGCCACACUGGGACUGAGACACGGCCCAGACUCCUACGGGAGGCAGCAGUGGGGAAUAUUGGACAAUGGGCGAAAGCCUGAUCCAGCAAUGCCGCGUGAGUGAUGAAGGCCUUAGGGUUGUAAAGCGCUUUUACCCGGGAUGAUAAUGACAGUACCGGGAGAAUAAGCUCCGGCUAACUCCGUG
rnacentral:rRNA from 1 species